ensembl:lncRNA
UUUAAUUCUUCUGGUGGUUAUCUCCGUACAAUAUGUUCUAUUUCUUGGUUUAUGAAUGUUAGAUAGUAUUUUUAACUCCCACUAUGAAAAAUGAGAAUUUAACCCAUUUAUACUAUGUUCACCUAACCUCACCUCUCUUCUCUCUCCUUUCCUUCAGUCUUUGAUGAUGAUGAUUGAAUCAGAAUGUUGAAUAUGCACCCCUCCCCCAGACUGCCAUCACUGGAAGCUGCAAAGUUGAAAACAACAGGUGGCAGUGACAGAUAUCCUCACAUUCUCAAGAGAGGCGCCAGACUCUCUACAUGCAGGACUUGCUAAAAGAACAUCCCCGUGGAAUCCAGCCCAUUACCACUUCCACGUGAUAGCCCUGGAUCCUCCCCUCCAAGGUUGCUGAAGCCGACCAGAGGCACACAUGGAGAUUCCCAAGCAAGUCACAAGGACAGGAGCAGAAACAGACUCCCUCAGCACAUGGCUGACAGAGAGUGUGCAGGGGCAGGCGUGGGAGCCCUGAGCUCCUGUGCGGCUCUGCUUCUGUUCAUCUGUGCCUCUGUACCAUCACUGCUCCGCUCUGCCAUUCCACGCCUCUGAAGGGGGUCUGCCAGAUCAUCUGCUGCUUCAUAGUUGCCUUCCCACUAGAAAAUCCCAUGAUUCCAAUGGCGCGUCCCCCAGUGUCUAGUGGAGCUUCCUGCAUUUGAAAGGACAAUUUCCAUGGUGUAUAUGUGCCACAUUUUCUUAAUCCAAUCUGUCACCGAUGGACCUUUGGGUUGAUUCCAAGUCUUUGCUAUUGUGAAUAGUGCUGCAAUAAACAUACGUGUGCAUGUGUCUUUAUAGCAGCAUAAUUUAUAAUCCUAUGCAGCCAUCAAAAAGGAUGAGUUUGCAUCCUUUGUAGGGACAUGGAUGCAGCUGGAAACCAUCAUUCUUAGCAAACUAUCACAAGAACAGAAAACCAAACACCGCAUGUUCUCACUCAUAGGUGGGAACUGAACAAUGAGAUCACUUGGACUCAGGAAGGGGAACAUAACACACAGGGGCCUAUCAUGGGGAGGGGGGAGGGGGGAGGGAUUGCAUUGGGAGUUAUACCUGAUGUAAAUGAUGAGUUGAUGGGUGCAGCACACCAACAUGGCACAAGUAUACAUAUGUAACAAACCUGCACGUUAUGCACAUGUACCCUACAACUUAAAGUAUAAUAAUAAUAAAUAAAUAAAUAAAUAAAUAAAUAAAUAAAAAAGAAAGGACAAUUUCCAGGAAACAAGGGAGGCAACUAUAGGGGCUCUAGCCCUCGGCUCUGCAUGAGGACUUGGUGUCAUAGCAUUUGCCCAGCCUGCUGCAGCUACCCCCAGACACGAGGGAAGGCAGCAAGCAAAUUGCCUUCACAACCUCAAGAAGCAGGUAUAUUGGCAUGACAGCUUCUUUGGUUGAAGAAAAAAAAAUGAAGAGGUUUAAAGCAAGCACAUCAAGCUGUUUUUGAGUGCACUUAACGGCUGCCCAGACGUGCAAGCCCCUUUUAAAAGCAGAGUGACUUCACUAAUAAUAGAGCUCCGUUAUUCUUUAUUGCUGACUCUCAACUCUGCUCUGUAUUUCCCCUUGGUGUUCUGCUCACUAACCCGUUUAUCCUCUCUUAGAAACCUACACUUAAAGGCAACAUAAAAUACAGCAUGACACCAAGGGAAAGCUUUCUGGUGGUGGCUUGAGCUAGCAAAAUUGUGGCGGUGACAGAAUCCUCUCCAGGCAAUUUUGUUUCCAGGGGCCUCAAGUAGGUGUUGGGAUUGGGAAUGGGUGUUGCUUCU